rnacentral:rRNA from 1 species
GGGUCUGCGUCUGAUUAGCUUGUUGGUGAGGUAAUGGCUCACCAAGGCUACGAUCAGUAGCUGGUCUGAGAGGAUGAUCAGUCACAUUGGGACUGAGAUACGGCCCAGACUCCUACGGGAGGCAGUAGUGGGGAAUUUUGCGCAAUGGGCGAAAGCCUGACGCAGCAACGCCGCGUGACCGAUGAAGCAUUUAGGUGUGUAAAGGUCUGUCGUUAGGGAAGUGACGGUACCUGACAAGAAAGCUCCGGCUAACUCCGUGCCAGCAGCCGCGGUAAUACGGGGGGAGCAAGCGUUAUCCGGAAUUACUGGGCGUAAAGGGCACGUAGGCGGGCUCUUAAGUCAGAUUUUAAAUCCAACAGCUUAACUGUUGAUAUGGAUCUGAAACUGGGAGUCUUGAAUGCAAGAGAGGAAAGCGGAAUUCCUGGUGUAGCGGUGAAAUGCGUAGAU